GAUGAACGCUGGCGGCGUGCCUAAUACAUGCAAGUCGAGCGAACGGACGAGAAUCUUGCUUCUCUGAUGUUAGCGGCGGACGUGUGAGUAACACGUGGAUAACCUACCUAUAAGACUGGGAUAACUUCGGGAAACCGUAGCUAAUACCGUAUAAUAUUUUGAACCGCAUGGUUCAAAAGUUAAAGACGGUCUUGCUGUCACUUAUAGAUUGAUCCUCGCUGCAUUAGCUAGUUGGUAAGGUAACGGCUUACCAAGGCAACGAUGCAUAGCCGACCUGAGAGGGUGAGAGGACACACGGGAACGGAGACACGGACAAGAGAACGACGGGAGGAAGCAGUAGGGAAUAUUCCGCAAUGGGCGAAAGCAUGACGGAGCAACGCCGCGUGAGUGAUGAAGGUCUUAGGAUCGUAAAACUCUGUUAUUAGGGAAGAAAAUAUGUGUAAGUAACUGUGCACAGCGUGACGGUACCUAAUCAGAAAGCAACGGCUAACUACGUG
rnacentral:rRNA from 1 species